UAAGUCCUGCAAAACAGAAACAUAUGAUAAUCGAAUAUGUUAGCGAGAUAAUCGAUUGUUUUCCACCAAAAUUAAAAGAUGUACAGUGUGACUCAAAAGGGUUCGACUAUGUUCCCCCUGACUUUGUGACUAUACCUGCAAAAAAAAAAUUAGGCGCCUCCGACGCUCAAGUCAGUAAUAGUUUAAAGAAAUGCAAUCUUUUAUAAGUGCAUGCGUUAGAUCAUCGUGGAAGUAUUCCGAGUUCACUACGAAUGCGGAAGAACGACUCUUUCUCUAAAGGUUUCGUGAAGAUGUCGGCCAACUGAUAUUUAGUUUC
rnacentral:lncRNA from 1 species